rnacentral:lncRNA from 1 species
GCCACAGUUAAUUGCUAAUUAUUGAUAGUUUCAUGUCUUACAUGGUAGUUUGUUCUCCAUAUAGCAUUAUUUUAUAUUGUAUAAUCACAAACUUUUUGCUGGAUGUAGGUUGGAUUUUCUGUUAACGGAGUAAUAAUACUAACUUUUAUGUGGGUUUUGAAGGCAUUCCUUGAGGUAAUACCUUUUCUUUUCACAUGAAUGGUUACCAUUUUUGGUGCCAUUCUUGAAGUAAAUUUCACUGUGAAUGUUUUGCAAUGUCCUGCACUUGCCUAACUCACUAGUUUGAUUGGAAUACAAUAUUAAGGGGUGCUGGUUUUCUAUGGAAUUAAUACACCAUGACAAACAGUAAAAGUAAUUUCAGAGAUCUAGAACAAGAAAGUUGUUAUUUGCUUUUAAAUGGCAAAAAACAUUCUAGUUAUGUUGGUACACAUUGCUCCUACUUGACACCUUAUAUCAUGAUCAACAUUACUUUGGUUAUCAUACUUGACACCUUGUAUCCUCUGUGGUGCAUUAGUUUGGAUUAUUUUUGGUUUAGUUUAGUUUAGUUUAUUUGAAUUUUUAGCUAAGCAAGUGAACUGAAGUUGCUUUUCCUUUAGCGUUGUGCUUAUCGUCUUAUCAACUGGUUAUAUUGUUCAUAGCAGUACUUAUAUCAGUACUUGUUAUAGUAGUGCUUGUUGCCUUAUCAACUUGUUAUAUUAUUCCUUUGAGGCUGAAGUUUAAUAGCAGUACUUAUUUCUUGAGCUAAUUUGGUGCAUUAGUUUGGGGCUGAUUUUGAUUUUCUUUGGGGCUGAUUUUGAAUGUCCAGCUUUAAUUAAUGAGGUUCUUAUUGGAUUGCAAAUUUUAGCUAAGCAACCGAACUACAAGAGAUAUAGUGAAAUUGGGAAAUGGCAAGGUUUAGUGAAAUUUUGUCUGAUGUUAAAAAUUCCCCCUUGUGUUGAAAUUUGGUAUUUUUUUUUCACGACAAAACCGCCUAGCAAAUUGUCACACUUAAAAGACAGUAUCUUUGAUUGGAACAAAACAAUGACUAAAUUCGUUUAUAUUAUUCCAAUCUUGCUUGCCACAUCCAAAGCAUCGUAGUCUGGAGUCAACCGAACAUAUGCUUUCUUUGUUCCAUCAGGCCUGAUCAAAGUGUUCACUUUCUUGGUCUGUAUGUCGUACAUCUUCUUCACUGCAUCUUUGAUUUUCUUCUUAUCAACACGGAUGUCAACUAUGAAUACCAUGGUAUUGUUAUCUUCAAUCUUUUUCAUGGCAGAUUCAGUAGUCAAAGGAUAUUUGAGAAUCUGAUAAUGGUCCAACUUAUUCCGAGGAGGAGCACUGAUGUGUGGGUACUUCGGGUUCCCGUCCUUUUUCAAUGUCUUAGGACGAUGGAAGGUAACUUUGGUCCGGAUCUUCUUGGCUUUCUUCUUAAAAGUUGUCCCAGAUUUGACAAAUUUGGCAACCUUGGCUGCCUGAGCCUUUGUAUCAAGCUUUUUUGUGGUGUCAGCUUUAGGAGCCAUUGCUGGAAACUGCCUUACAAAUCUUUUACCUGAGGGGAGGAGCCGAGUGUUGAGGGGAGGAGCUGAGUGUUGCUGAAGCGGCUCUG